UACGUAGGUGGCAAGCGUUGUCCGGAUUUACUGGGCGUAAAGAGCGCGCAGGCGGCUGGUCAAGUCCGAUGUGAAAUCUCCCGGCUCAACUGGGAAACUGCAUCGGAAACUGAUCGGCUUGAAGGUGGGAGAGGGUAGUGGAAUUCCCGGUGUAGUGGUGAAAUGCGUAGAUAUCGGGAGGAACACCAGUGGCGAAGGCGACUUCCUGGCCUGUUCUUGACGCUGAGGCGCGAAAGGCUAGGGGAGCAAACGGG
rnacentral:rRNA from 1 species